UACGAAGGGGCUAGCGUUGCUCGGAAUCACUGGGCGUAAAGGGUGCGUAGGCGGGUCUUUAAGUCAGGGGUGAAAUCCUGGAGCUCAACUCCAGAACCGCCUUUGAUACUGAGGAUCUUGAGUUCGGGAGAGGUGAGUGGAACUGCGAGUGUAGAGGUGAAUUCGUAGAUAUUCGCAAGAACACCAGAGGCGAAGGCGGCUCGCUGGACAGGCACUGACACUCAACUACGAAAGCGUGGGGAGCAAACAGG
rnacentral:rRNA from 1 species